CGUAGGGUGCAAGCGUUAAUCGGAAUUACUGGGCGUAAAGCGUGCGCAGGCGGUUUUGUAAGUCUGUCGUGAAAUCCCCGGGCUCAACCUGGGAAUUGCGAUGGAGACUGCAGGGCUAGAAUCUGGCAGAGGGGGGUAGAAUUCCACGUGUAGCAGUGAAAUGCGUAGAGAUGUGGAGGAACACCGAUGGCGAAGGCAGCCCCCUGGGUCAAGAUUGACGCUCAUGCACGAAAGCGUGGGGAGCAAACAGGAUUAGAUACCCUGGUAGUCCACGCCCUAAACGAUGUCUACUAGUUGUCGGGUUUUAAUUAACUUGGUAACGCAGCUAACGCGUGAAGUAGACCGCCUGGGGAGUACGGUCGCAAGAUUA
rnacentral:rRNA from 1 species